CUUGGUGCGACGGCCGGGAAUCGAACCCGGGUCAACUGCUUGGAAGGCAGCUAUGCUAACCAUUAUACCGCCUCGAA
rnacentral:tRNA from 1 species